UUUUAGUAGAGACAGGGUUUCACUAUGUUGGCCAGGCUGGUCUCGAACUCCUGACCUCAUGAUCCACCCGCCUCAGCCUCCCAAAGUGCUGGGAUUACAGGCAUGAGCCACCGUGCCCGGACUUGGUACCAUCUUUAAAUGAAAUCUUCUAUAGGCUGGGAUUUCAGAGGCCUGGUUUUUAACUUCAGCUUUGUCAUACAGUCACAAUACAUUCUCUCUUUGAUCUACAUGAGCUCAAGUCAUCACUUUAUUCUUUUAAUAUAAUGAGGGUAAUUUGGUAUCAAACUAUACUUGACCUGUUUCCUUCCCCUUUGUCAGCUAAAUUUCUAGGAGAGCAUUGAGAAUCAAGAACCAUCAUGAUGUAUCAGCUAAAUAAGGUGUCAACAAAAACCAUGCUUGGCCUUGUAUGAAGCCCAGAGCUGGCAUUUCCCCACCCUUGGUCAUUCUCUUCCGCCCUGUGUCUAUCUAGGUCAGGCUUCUCAAACCUCACCAUGGCAGAUGCAUCAUUUGGAGACCUUGUGAAAAUGUAGACUCUGAUUCCCUAGGUCAAGGGCUGAGAUUCUGCAUUUCUUUCAAAAUCCCAGGUGAUGCUGCUGCUGCUGCUGCUGCUGCUGCUGCUGCUGCUGCUGCUGGUCUAGACCACAUUUUCAGAAGUAAGGAUUUAAACAAUCAGC
rnacentral:lncRNA from 1 species